AUUAAGGGCCUGCAGGAAAGCCCGCCUUUCAAGACUACACGCCCCAGUCAUAACAUAAUUAAUUGGUUUCUAAAAAUAUUCGCUUGCACGUAAACAUGUCAAUCAAACAAUAUUGCGAAUUAAACUCAAUACUAUAAUACAAUUUAAUACAAUAUUGCAGAUUUUGUAAAUGUUGUUUUAAAUUAAACAGCAAUUUGGCAAUUUUAGUAAAAUUGUUCAUGUUUCAUCACAAAAAACCAUCAGAAAGAAAACAAUCUUUCGGAAUUGUGCUCUCAGAUUAUAUGUGAGAAAGUUGGCUUUUGUUAAUACACUACAGUACUACACGAGAAGUUUCAACACCAUUACCAGCCCAAAGAUGUAGAAACAUCAGGAAAGCCUAAACUGUCAAUUCCUGACCCGCUGACCGUGGCGCUAGUCCAUUCAACCAAACUGAAUCAAAUCAUGUUUGUUCUCCGCGAUGUUUUCCGGGUAGUAUGUCUAGAACUGAAUCGAAAUCUGCGCGUAAAAGUACAGUGCUUGUUCAGCAGCAAUACAAAAGAUGAUCUCACUGGCCAGUCAUCAAGAAAUAGCACAGGUACUGCAGACAACGUGGAUGUAAAUACUGAUUCCGACGAUGUACCGAAGUAAGCUCAACAUCGACGGUUUGAAAACGUGUGAAGGGUGUUCGUGGGCGUUCGUCACUUAAAUUAACUGUGCUUAAAUCAUUAAAAGUGCUUUUAGGUCAUCCGAAUGGGAAUAUUGUGACGCGAAACCCUACAAACGAAAAGUGGCUGGACCACAGUGACAAACGCCCUUCACACGUUUUCAAACCGUCGAUGUUGAGCUUAAUACUUUUAUAUAGUACAUCAUCAGAAUCAGUAUUUACAAUUUUACAUCCAUGCACGUUAAUUGUUUGCAAUUAUCCUGUGCUAUUUCCUGACGACUGGCCAGUGAGAUCAUCUUUUGUAUCGCUGCUGAAUAAGAAAAAAUAGCCACGAUCGAUGUUCAAGAUUAGAUCGAGGAUUAGAUAGCAACAAUAUUGAAAUCAACAAAUAC